rnacentral:rRNA from 1 species
UAUUAUAUUUAAUAUAAAAAUUUAUACUGGAGUAGUAGUUGAAGGUCAUGAAACUCAAAGAAUUUGGCGGUGUUUUAGUCCUUUUAGAGGAAUCUGCCCUGUAAUUGAUGGUACACGAUUUGUUAUACUUGAUUUGGUUAUUAAUUUGUAUACCGCCGUCAUGAGAUUAUCUUAUUUUGAGGGUUAGAAUUUUCUUGUUUUUGUAUUGAAAUUUAUGUCAGGUCAAGGUGCAGUUUAUGAUUAAGUAGAGGUGGAUUACAUUAAUAGUAAUUAUUGCGGAUAUUUAUUUUAGUUUAAUUUGAAGUUGGAUUUAAUUGUAAAUUUAUUUUUGAUUUUUAUGUUGAUUAGGGCUCUAGAAUGUGUACAUAUCGCCCGUCACUCUCAAUAGUUUAAUUUGAG